rnacentral:rRNA from 1 species
GAGGGGAUUAGUGGCGAACGGGUGAGUAACACGUGGGCAAUCUGCCCUGCACUCUGGGACAAGCCCUGGAAACGGGGUCUAAUACCGGAUACUGACCCGCUUGGGCAUCCAAGCGGUUCGAAAGCUCCGGCGGUGCAGGAUGAGCCCGCGGCCUAUCAGCUUGUUGGUGAGGUAAUGGCUCACCAAGGCGACGACGGGUAGCCGGCCUGAGAGGGCGACCGGCCACACUGGGACUGAGACACGGCCCAGACUCCUACGGGAGGCAGCAGUGGGGAAUAUUGCACAAUGGGCGAAAGCCUGAUGCAGCGACGCCGCGUGAGGGAUGACGGCCUUCGGGUUGUAAACCUCUUUCAGCAGGGAAGAAGCGAAAGUGACGGUACCUGCAGAAGAAGCGCCGGCUAACUACGUGCCAGCAGCCGCGGUAAUACGUAGGGCGCGAGCGUUGUCCGGAAUUAUUGGGCGUAAAGAGCUCGUAGGCGGCUUGUCGCGUCGGUUGUGAAAGCCCGGGGCUUAACCCCGGGUCUGCAGUCGAUACGGGCAGGCUAGAGUUCGGUAGGGGAGAUCGGAAUUCCUGGUGUAGCGGUGAAAUGCGCAGAUAUCAGGAGGAACACCGGUGGCGAAGGCGGAUCUCUGGGCCGAUACUGACGCUGAGGAGCGAAAGCGUGGGGAGCGAACAGGAUUAGAUACCCUGGUAGUCCACGCC